rnacentral:tRNA from 3 species
CCGGUAGCUCAGUUGGUUAGAGCGCCAGCCUGUCACGCUGGAGGUCGAGGGUUCGAGCCCCUUCCG